GUGUACCUACCUGAGGAAGUUCAAGGAGAAGGAGAAGUUGGUUCCUCAGUUGCAUCAACUGCUGCUGGUUCAGCAGCAUCAACUGCUCCAGACAUUGCAUCUCUUGUUGAGAAGGCCUUAGCAAAACUGCCUCCAGAAAUGGCUGCUGAAGCAAAAGAUCCCAAGAGGAAGGCAAAGUCUCGAGACCCUGGAUGGCAGUUUGGAUGGUGGCCAGAUAUUGCAAAGAAGGACUCUGUGCAGUGCAUUUUUUGUAAGACGAUAACUCCUUCAGGAAUCAUUUGGCAGCAGCAGCCAGCAAGACAAGAAAGGGCUCUGCAGCAACCAGGUAA